rnacentral:rRNA from 1 species
GACGAACGCUGGCGGCGUGCUUAAUACAUGCAAGUCAACUGAACUUAAGGUAGCAAUAUUUUAAGGGAGGUGGCGCACGGGUGAGUAACACGUAGGUAAUCUGCCUUUAGGACUGACAUAACCCAGAGAAAUCUGGGCUAAUAUCAGAUGAUGCAGCGGCUCGACAUCGAGACAGUUGUUAAACCUUCGGGGCCUAGAGAUGAGCCUGCGUCUGAUUAGCUAGUUGGUGGGGUAACGGCCUACCAAGGCGACGAUCAGUAGCCGGCCUGAGAGGGUGGUCGGCCACACUGGGACUGAGACACGGCCCAGACUCCUACGGGAGGCAGCAGUGGGGAAUAUUGCGCAAUGGGCGAAAGCCUGACGGAGCGACACCGCGUGAAGGAUGAAGUCUUUUUUAGAUGUAAACUUCUGUUCUGAGGGACGAAAUUUUUGACGGUACCUCAGGAGAAAGCAUCGGCUAACCCUGUGCCAGCAGCCGCGGUAAUUGACGUC